GAUGAACGCUGGCGGCGUGCCUAAUACAUGCAAGUCGAACGAGGGCACUCACGUAGCAAUACGAGGGUGUUCCUAGUGGCGAACGGGUGAGUAACACGUUGGUGACCUGCCCCGAAGUGAGGGAUAACACCGCGAAAGUGGUGCUAAUACCCCAUGUGACCCGAGGGCUUAGAUGCCCUUGGUGGAAAGGGGAAAGCCGCUUCGGGAGGGGCCUGAGGCCCAUCAGCUAGUUGGCAGGGUAAUGGCCUACCAAGGCGACGACGGGUAGGGGUCCUGAGAGGGUGGCCCCCCACACUGGCACUGAAACACGGGCCAGACACCUACGGGUGGCAGCAGUAGGGAAUAUUGGACAAUGGGCGAAAGCCUGAUCCAGCAACGCCGCGUGCGCGAUGACGGCCUUCGGGUUGUAAAGCGCUUUUCGGGGGGAUGAGGAAGGACAGUACCCCCGGAAUAAGUCUCGGCUAACUACGUGCCAGCAGCCGCGGUAACAC
rnacentral:rRNA from 1 species